rnacentral:rRNA from 1 species
GGUUGUCAUGACAAUGGCACUGGCCGGUAGCUAAAUGCGGAAGAGAUAAGKGCUGAAAGCAKCUAAGCACGAAACUUGCCCCGAGAUGAGUUCUCCCUGACWCCURGAGAGUCCUGAAGGAACGUUGAAGACGACGACGUUGAUAGGCCGGGUGUGUAAGCGCAGCGAUGCGUUGAGCUAACCGGUACUAAUGAACCGUGAGGCUUAACCUUACAACGCCGAAG